rnacentral:lncRNA from 1 species
UUCCAGAAAAUCAUUCAUAUAUAUAUGCCUUUUUUAAAAUUGUGCCAAACACAUUACAUCUAGUUGCAUAAGGCUAAACAUCUUGAUCCCUUCUUAACUACAUAUAGUCGGGAUUUACACAUAAACUGCCCUUAUCUAUAAAAGUCGGGCUCAAAAGUAUUAUCCCCUUAGUAUACAAAAGAGGGGUACAUACAACUAAUACAGACAUAGAAAUAAAAUACUUAUACUAAACAGACGCAUCAUAAGGACUCAGUCAAACUACUGAAGAAGCAUGACCCGCCUUUUGGCGCUGCGAAGCUCCUCAUCCCCGAUGUCCAGCACCCUUUUUCGAGUCAGGACUAACUCGCUUCCAUUUUCAUCUACAGGGUGUAGCAGUAUAAGGAUUUUCAUAGCCAGUUAACACAUCACAUAACACAGUAGCAAUAGGCAUUUUGGCACACAACAGUCAAUAUAGCAGAUUUUAAAGUCCAGGAUAGUCUUUAUGCCCAUUUCAAGCCUUUUUGGCAAGGUAUGAUACUAAGUUGUCAAAACAGUCUUUAAGCUUCUAGUACAUCAUACACAUGCUAUAUAACAAAUUUUCAUGAUUUAAGAACCUAAAUACAAGGUUUCUAGCUUUAGUUUUACAACAACAUCUCGUGGGGCUUAAAGUAAUACAAGGUAGCAUUAGUUGCUUGGAGUUAUAGGUAUCAUGUUAUAGUGUACUUGCCAUGUUAGAAACAAAUGAUGGUCAUUACUAGUCAAUCCUCUCAUAACAGUUUUAUUUAGUCUAUACUUCUCAUUCAAAGAGCAUAUUUCAUAUAUGUAACCAUAAAGCUUAAAUCUCAGGAAAUCUUAUUUAUUGGCUGCACCAUUUUUCAGUUAGUACUAUACUAACAGUUGGAAAUCAACAGUCCAGAAGUCAAUUACUUAGUCUAUGACCUUUUUAUAAGAACAGCUCCUUCCUUAAUGAAAUUCCAGUUUGUGUUUUAAUAGCUCAACCUGAAUGUCUAAGGCUUGUUAGGUUCAAAUGGCUCAAUCAUAUAAUUCUAUACUUGCCUAGCCAUGUUAAGCAUUAAUAAUGCAAUAGUAAGAACACUAACACAAAAUAGUCCCAAUUAGACCUUCUAAGCAUGGCAAGUUAUAAUCAUUUUAUGCUAAGGCAAAACUGAACUUGAAACACUUGGUUUUCUUUAGAAUUUCAAUAUAGAUUAUUGUCUUAGGACUAGUCUUGUCAGUCCUUCUACUCAACACAAUUGACACAAACAGCCCUCUUAUCGGCAUUUUAUCAAACAGAUGGUGGGCAGUCUACCCAUGUCCUCACUUUACUUAUCUUAUUAGCUUAGUGCUACCAGCCUUAUGGCUUUAGAACAAUGACAAGAAUAAAAAUCUAUAGCAGUCAAUCUUUCAUCAAUUAACAUUCAUGUGGACACAUCCUUUCAUUAACAGGUAUUAAUAAUGCUAGUUUUAAUUACAUUACUUUGUGCAGCCGAUCAAGAUAACCCAGCCACUAACAGUUCAGUUUCUACCAAUUAGAGACACAGGAACGACUGGAAAAAGGAUUGAGGGCCAGAAUUGACUUACUGUGUUAAAGCCUUGAGAAUUUACUAAGUGAUGCAGCUAAGUGUUUUUAGGCAAUGAGCUUGGCCUUUUAUGGCUGAGCCCCACCUCUUCGACUGUUACUAGCAUCACCUUCUACUUGGCCCCUAUCAGUCACACUACUCAGCCUUAGCCUAAUUGAUUAGGCUCUGCCCCAGCCACCCUACCUUACCGCUACCUUAUCCUCUGCAUUCUAAACUGUUACCUGUUCUUUGUCUGUUAUGUAAACUAACUUACCUGCUAGAACAGAACUAAUUUAGAAACCAGAUGCUUGCUUCCUGACUAUUUAUUCAAGUUAUGCUCGUGUUUUUCUUAAUCAGUUUGAAGCAGCUAGCUGGUUACACACCAAGGGUGUUACAGGCCUGAGUCUUAACAAUUAUUAGUUUGGGCUUGGACCAUUACUCUUGUUAACCAAUUGAGGCUGCCAA